rnacentral:rRNA from 1 species
UGGUCGGUACAAAGGGUUGCCAAGCCGCGAGGUGGAGCUAAUCCCAUAAACCGAUCGUAGUCCGGAUCGCAGUCUGCAACCUCCGACUGCGUGAAGUCGGAAUCGCUAGUAAUCGUGAAUCAGAAUGUCACGGUGAAUACGUUCCCGGGCCUU